rnacentral:rRNA from 1 species
CAGCCGCCACGGUAAUACGAAGGGUGCAAGCGUUAAUCGGAAUUACUGGGCGUAAAGCGUGCGUAGGCGGUGAGUUAAGUCUGCUGUGAAAUCCCCGGGCUCAACCUGGGAAUGGCAGUGGAUACUGGGUCACUAGAGUGUGGUAGAGGAUAGUGGAAUUCCCGGUGUAGCAGUGAAAUGCGUAGAGAUCGGAAGGAACAUCUGUGGCGAAGGCGACUAUCUGGGCCAACACUGACACUGAGGCACGAAAGCGUGGGGAGCAAACAGGAUUAGAUACCCCAGUAGUCCCUGUCUCUUAUAA